UCAAUUUGUGCAGACUCUACAUCCUUGAUAACAGCCAAAAAUUCUUUCACUUUGGAUUUUGUUAAUUGGUUUACAGAUGUGGAUUGCAACUCCUGAACCACAGAGCACAGGCAUUCUAGAUAAUAAGCACGCAAGGAAGUCGAUUCCAACCGACAGUUUGCUGCUAUAUUCCCAUACUUGUCAAGGAUUAACUGCAAGGUAGAAGCAGCAGUUGAUCUCACAUGAUAUUUUCCUACUGACACACAGGAAUCAGAAAUAACAGACUGAAUUUCAUCAUCACUCUCUUCUGAAGCACGAGAAAUGCCCGAAAAAGUGAAGUUCAGAGACUUGGCAGUUGGAUCAUUAGUGACUUCCACAUUCUCAGUAAUAGGAGAUGAAGCUGCCUCAGGUGAAGCAAGAUGCUUUUCAUUGUCCUCCAGAUUGGUUGGUGGCACAAUGGCAUAACAGGUAAAACUACCAAGUGUGAGUUUUUUUGGGACCAUUAGGCGUUAAAUUCCCAGAUGUAUGCAGAAAUUCAGUGGAUUGAACUUGUCCCUUGUCAAAUGAAUGAUCAUGAGAAUAAGCUUCUUCAGAAUUUUGCCGGGAUGAAGAAGAAGAAUUACUGUUCUCUGAUUUCACCUUUUUUUUAAUGGAAAGAGGUGAGCGAGGGGACAGAGAGUCAGCAGGGUACACUGUUUUAACAGCAGAUAUGUUGUUUUGAGGGGACCUAGGCCUAGAUUCAGACCCCUUCUUUUUUCUGCCAAAGCUUCGAGAAGCUUCAAGAAUGAAAGAG
rnacentral:misc_RNA from 1 species